rnacentral:lncRNA from 1 species
AUUCAUUGACUUCAGAGUAGGAGAUGAGAAGGUGGAUGAUUAAAUAACUGACUGAAGGCUGAGGAUUAAUGAGGCAUCUGCAAUAGAAAAAGAAGUAGGCAAGGGCUUCUAACAAGAGUAGAGGGCAGCACACUUGUCAAGUAUCCCAGAUAGACUCUGCGUCUGGGGGCUUUCUGGGAUUUGAAACCAGGCUUUAUAAUUCUAAAUCUUUCUACCGCCCUAUGCCGACUCACUCAUGAUACACAUUUAUAUCUCCUAAAGGGAGGAAAGAAGAAGGGAGGAAGACAAUUUGGAUCCUAUAACUUUGAAAAAGAGGGAAGAAUGUCAGAAGAGUUGAAAUUUCCUGUGGAUGCAGUGUUCACAUUGCACAGAACACCAGGGGUCUGCCGAACAUUGAGAAAUGCUGCCCUACACUGACAUCUCAGCUAAUAAUAAACUUCACUGUUGGACAUUUUUCA